UACGUAGGGCGCAAGCGUUAUCCGGAAUUAUUGGGCGUAAAGAGCUCGUAGGCGGUUUGUCGCGUCUGCCGUGAAAGUCCGGGCUCAACUCCGGAUCUGCGGUGGGUACGGGCAGACUAGAGUGAUGUAGGGGAGACUGGAAUUCCUGGUGUAGCGGUGGAAUGCGCAGAUAUCAGGAGGAACACCGGUGGCGAAGGCGGUUCUCUGGGCAUUACCUGACGCUGAGGAGCGAAAGUGUGGGGAGCGAACAGG
rnacentral:rRNA from 1 species